rnacentral:rRNA from 1 species
UACGGGAGGCGACAGUCGGGAAUUUUGGGCAAUGGGCGAAAGCCUGACCCAGCAACGCCGCGUGAAGGAUGAAGUCCUUCGGGAUGUAAACUUCGUAAGAAUGGGAAGAAUCAAUGACGGUACCAUUUGUAAGGUCCGGCUAACCUACGUGCCAGCAGCCGCGGUAAUA